GACGAACGCUGGCGGCGUGCCUAAUACAUGCAAGUAGAACGCACAGUUUAUACCGUAGCUUGCUACACCAUAGACUGUGAGUUGCGAACGGGUGAGUAACGCGUAGGUAACCUGCCUGGUAGCGGGGGAUAACUAUUGGAAACGAUAGCUAAUACCGCAUAAUAUUGAUUAUUGCAUGAUAAUUAAUUGAAAGGUGCAAUUGCACCACUACCAGAUGGACCUGCGUUGUAUUAGCUAGUAGGUGAGGUAACGGCUCACCUAGGCGACGAUACAUAGCCGACCUGAGAGGGUGAUCGGCCACACUGGGACUGAGACACGGCCCAGACUCCUACGGGAGGCAGCAGUAGGGAAUCUUCGGCAAUGGACGAAAGUCUGACCGAGCAACGCCGCGUGAGUGAAGAAGGUUUUCGGAUCGUAAAGCUCUGUUGUAAGAGAAGAACGGGUGUGAGAGCGGAAAGUUCACACUGUGACGGUAUCUUACCAGAAAGGGACGGCUAACUACGUG
rnacentral:rRNA from 1 species